GAAAGUUGUACAAUGGAUGGCAUAUAUGUUUUGUAUAUGGUUGUCGAUUAGGGAUCAACUGAAAUGUCUGUGGGGAGAAUAGGCCAGUUGUACAAAGAAAUAUUUUAUAAAGACAUGCAUGCAAUAUGCAAUAUGUUAUGUAUGUUAAUCUCUUUUUCUUUUCUUCCUCAUUCUUUUAUUUUCUAUUCUUUUUUCUUUUUCUCUUUCUUACCCCCACUCGCAAGUUUUAACAUGUAAC
rnacentral:lncRNA from 1 species